CUUAUUACACGCAAAGGUAAUAAGCAAAUUAGAUAAAGGGAAACUUUAUUUAGUUUGUAUCGGGAGGAAAUGCACGAUACA
rnacentral:sRNA from 10 species